CAUAUUUUUGUUGUACACUUGAGAAAACUGUUGAAUAACUUAAAGGUAUUAUUCUAGUCUAAUUUCAUUAUUCCUGAAUUGUUUUAGAAAAAAAGAGAUAUUUUUCAAAAUAUCUCUUUUUAUAAGAUAUCUUAUAUAAAUUUUCAAAAUGUAGUUACUAAUUUUAAAAUUAAUAUACGUUAUUUCAAUAUGAAUUUUGACUUUUAUAUUUCGAGUUCUUCAAGUGUCUUUACAUGAAAAUCAAAUUAAAUAUGAUUUUUAUAUUUGUUCAACUUUACCUUUUUAUCAAAAAAAAAAACAAUUGGUUCAUAUAAGGGUGAUUUAAGUGUAUAACCAAAUCUGAUAAAUAAAUUAAGAAUAUAGAAUCAUAAGUUUGAAAACAAAAGAAAUAACCAUCAGACAUUGUAAAAUGACAAAACUAUCCUCACACAUAAAAUGAAAUGAGAGAAAGAGUAGUAGUGACGUGAGAGUGAGAGGGGAGACAAAUACUUCUAACCAUCAUUUUUUCUUUUACCCCUAUUGAUUUAUACUUCUAUUUAUUAUCUGAUAUAAUUAAUGUAAAAUUAUAAUUUCUAUAGAAUAAAAUCUAAUCUUUUUUACUCUAUAUAUCAUGAUUUGGAUUUUUAAAAACGAAUAUAAACUUAUAAAAACAAAACAUAUUUAUGUAGCACAAAUAAAAUAGUAUAUAACUAAAUGAAAUAGUAUAGAAAUGAAACAUGGGAGUGGUGGUACCAAAAUGUUGAACAAAACUACAACGAAAUACAAAAUGUUAUACCAUAAAAAACACAAAAUAGAAGCCAAACCGAUUAAGUCAAACGAAUGUCGAAGAAAAACCGUUAUAUUCUAAUGAAUACAACAUAAAAAGAAAACCGUUAUAUUCGAAGCUUAGAGGUCGCCGGUUCGAAUGACGCUUGAGACAAAACAAAUAUUACAUGCUGUGGUUUCGAGUCUAGAAGGAUUACGGGUUUUGGCACAGAACCUCCUGGUAUUCAAAAAAAAAAAAAAAACUAAUCAUGCCAAGUUAAACACAUAUUAAAAAAGGCGCUAUACCCUAAAAGAUACAACAUAUGGAACCCAAACUACCGAUUUAAACGCACAACGAAUAAGAAACAUAUACCCUAAAAGAUACAAUAUAGGAAACUCAAACGACCAAAUUAAACGCAUACAAAAGAGAAAAUGUUAUUUCUUAAGAGAUACUAGUUAAGAAACCUAAACUGCCGAACUGUUGAAACUCUUAAAAUUAUUAAGAAUUUAAACUGUUUACCUUUUUUUUUAAAUCAUCAUUUUCAAAUUUCGAUUUUUUUUUAUAUUGCUUUUAAACAUAUGUUUUUAGGUUUUGAGAAAAUUACUAUUACUGACACGAAACACUCAUUCUUAAUAAGAAAAUUUUGAAAAUAUGAUUUUUAAAAAUAUAUUAAAAUAUUUGUCCCUUUUAUAUAGUACGAAACUUUAUCAUACUUUUUUAUAUUAGUUUCGAGUUAAACUAGUUUGUUUCAAAAAAUUCAAAUCAUAGUACAAACAGAAAAAAAAAUCUAUGUUUUUUUUAAAAUGAGAUUAUAAGAUUUAAACAAUUCAUAUGAAAAACUAGCUGUAAAUAUAAACAAAGGGAGAAUAAAAAAAAAAUAGAAAAAGAGAGCAAGGUUAGAAGAGAUGGGAAGAUGACAAAAGGGUAAAAGCUGUCAUUAAUACAUAUAAUACAAAGAAUAUCAUAGAUGUAUGGUUAGUAUGGUCAGUUGUUGAAUUAUAAUUUUUUUGUUGGUCAUAGAAUGCAAUUCCCCUUUAUAUAAUAGUGCUUAUAGAGAAAAAAGUUGAAAUCUGUUGGUUCAUGUAUAAAGUAUAAACAACUUUUUUUUUUUUUUUUCAUAUUUUUGUUGUACACUUGAGAAAACUGUUGAAUAACUUAAAGGUAUUAUUCCAGUCUAAUUUCAUUAUUCCUGAAUUGUUUUAGAAAAAAAAAGAUAUUUUAGAAUACCUCAUAUAAGAUAGACAAGUUUUUUUUUUUCUUUUUUUCUUUUUGUGGUUAUAUAAUCUCUCUCUUUCUCUCUGCCUUGCUCGAGCAUCGUACUCGUCACACGUUGCACUCUCAAUGCCUUCGCAGACCACACGAGCUACAAGAGCCAGGC
rnacentral:lncRNA from 1 species